GAGUUUGAUCCUGGCUCAGGAUGAACGCUGGCGGCGUGCCUAACACAUGCAAGUCGAACGAAGCGCCUUUUGAGAUUCUUCGGAUGAUUGAUCGGUGACUGAGUGGCGGACGGGUGAGUAACGCGUGGGUAACCUGCCCUGUACAGGGGGAUAACAGUUGGAAACGGCUGCUAAUACCGCAUAAGCGCACGAGAGGACAUCCUCUUGUGUGAAAAACUCCGGUGGUACAGGAUGGGCCCGCGUCUGAUUAGCUGGUUGGCAGGGUAACGGCCUACCAAGGCAACGAUCAGUAGCCGGUCUGAGAGGAUGAACGGCCACACUGGAACUGAGACACGGUCCAGACUCCUACGGGAGGCAGCAGUGGGGAAUAUUGCACAAUGGGGGAAACCCUGAUGCAGCGACGCCGCGUGAGCGAAGAAGUAUUUCGGUAUGUAAAGCUCUAUCAGCAGGGAAGAAAAUGACGGUACCUGACUAAGAAGCCCCGGCUAACUACGUGCCAGCAGCCGCGGUAAUUC
rnacentral:rRNA from 1 species